GUGGGCACAGCAAGCUGACUUGCCUUCUCGAGUGGGUGAAAAACAAUUGGCAUUUCAGUGAGGAACUGGAUGUAAUACAUGAAAUGGCUCAGAUCUACUCAGCUGGAACCCAGGUCAUCCCCCUGAGCAUCGCUGCUGGCAAAAACCCAGUGUGAGGACCUCCUCAUGGAAUACCUGUAAAGUAUUCUUUAUAGCCAAAUAAAUAAAUAAAUAAAAGAAAAAAGUUUAUUCAAACCUAAAACCUAACUUCCAUUAUAAGGGCUUAAAAGUAAAAGUUAAAGGACACCAUCAGGAAACAAUCGGGCAAGCCAGGGAUGUGUGACCUUCUCUAAGACAGCUGGCCCAGAUUCCUCAAGUCAAUGUCGUAAAUCAAAACCAAACAGAAGUUAAGGUGGGGGAGAUUUUCCAGAUUAGCCUCCAGAUGGAAUCCAUAAGCCUUGAUUAGCUCUCGGGGGAAACUGCAUACAAACAUUUAAGGUACAAUUGCAAAAAUUUUAAAAUGACUUGGAUAUUAGUUGUGAUUGUAGAAUCAUUGUUAAGUUUCCUAGGUAUGAUAGUGGUAUUGCGGUUAUACAGGAGAUUUUCUUUAUUCUUAGGAGAUUCAUAUUGAAGCACUUACGGAUCAUGAUGCCAUACUGACAACUUAUUUUCAAAAAUGGUGUGUAUCAUGUGUUUGUGGGGAGACAGAGAGAGGAGAAAAACCAAAUAUGGUAAAACGUUAACAACCAUUGAAUCUAGAUGAAAAGCAUUUGUGGUUUCUUUUGACAUUUUUCAGUGUUGAAAAUUUUCAUAAUAGAAGGCAGACAGAUAAAUAUCAGUAAAAAGCAGAUAAAAUUGAGGAUAUAUUUGUAUUUGAAGAGCUUUUUAAAGCCAUGUUUUCUUUUCCUCAACCAGUUUCAAAUAAGCAGCCAAUACUUUAUCAGGAACUAAUUCAUCCACCUCAGAAUGGAUAUUCACACCCAAAUUGCUGUGCUUUCAAAAGCUUUUUAACCUCUUGUUUGUUGCUAGCACUUUCCCAGUGGAAAGAAUUUGAUGCCAUUUCCGCACACCCAAAUUCCUGUUGGCAGGAUAAUCAGCAAGUAAUACAGAGAGCUGCUUCCUUCAACAGCUGCAUUCAGCACAAAACCGAGGGCCGAUUAUGUGGAGAAAUAUCCUUCAGAGGCUGGUGGAGGCCGCUCUGCUUCAAGCUGUGAGCCGAGUCAGGGCUGCUUCACUUGUCUCUCAUCCUCUGGACCAGUGACCACCUGGGGUGGCAACAGGGCCAGAGGACGAGCAGAGACACAAGAGGCCUCCUAAGGCCUCAGCUCAGAACUAACAAACUCGCUUCUGCCCACAUUCCAUUGGCCAAAGCCCUGCAUGAGUUGUGGAAAAGUACUCUCCACUUUGGUGAACAUUAGUAAGAGAAAAGAGGGAAGGAAGAAUUGCAGGCAAGUAAUACCAUCUACCUCGGCCUCCUAUGCAGCUUGGUGUGUACCUGCACCUAAGUUCUGGCCUGUAGGAUAUGAGGGGAAGUGAGGUGUGCAACUCCAGGACCUGCCCCUGUAAAGACUGGGCCCUGCCUUUCCCCUGCCCAUCUGCUGGGGACAUGGUAGGACUGCAGCAGUUGCCUGGCCCAGAGAUAGACGGCACAGCUAUCCUGCUGGUCCUACCUCUAGACCGCCACAUGUACCUCACUUACACUGCUUGGGUUUUGCAUCUUAAAACCCCAAUUAGCACACCAUUCAUUCAUUCAUUCCCCCAUCAACAAGUAUGUACUGAGUGUCUUUUUGCCAGGCAUUGCACUAGGUUUUGGAGAGAUGACAGUGAACAAAAACAAACUUGGCUGUUCUGUAUCUUGGCUGUGGCAGUGGUUACACAAGCCUACACAUGUGAUAAAACUGCAUAGAACUAAAUACACACACACAGAGGAAUGCCAGUCAAACUGGGAAUUAAAGAAUCAAAAAGUCACUGGUGACUCAACAUGGCAGCAGUCCAGCUCAACCAUACAGAUGACAGCAGUGUGCUGAAGUAUGACAAAGGAAUGAUUUAAAAGGAAUUGAGGCAGAGCUGCCAGGCAGGCAUGCUCACCUUGGACUUUGAAGCAAGAGAGACAUAAAUAAAGGUCUUUGUUCUGUAAGUAGAGUGUUCAUAUAAUUUAUCAUCCAAACUGAGACACCUGUGAAAAUAAUUACACUGGAACAACUUGUGUGACUGAUCAGCUGGUCACUCCAUCUUUAAGUCAUUGUCUUGUUGAGUCUGUUAUCAGAGCCCAUGGAGUGCCAUGCAUGGACAGCUUAUUUAGGCACAACAGAGAAAAAUUAAAGGGAAGGAGGAGCAAGGAAGAGUGGAAAGGAUAAAGAAAUGGUGAGCAUUGGCAGGAAACAAUGCAAGGAGAAAAGGGAACAGGAAUCGGAUUUUCUACUAAUUUGCUGUGUGUUCCUGUGUCAGUUUAUAAAUUAGUGUCUAUAUUUACAACCGAUUGGAAGAACGAACUUUUUAGAUCCUCUCAUCCAACAAAGCUGCAGAUUUCUUUAUUGAGAUGGAGUUGAGAAAGCUUUAAAACAGGCCAAAGCAACAUGAGGACAUGUGUCAUGAGAAGAGAAAUGGUCUUCCAUAAAUUGAGUGCUGGGGAAGGCUUGGUGUAGGUAAUGUAGAGGUUCUCAAACUGUGGAGAAGCUCAAAAUGUGUUCCUUUGAGCCUUGGUCUUCUAGUUAGGCCACUGUCUAAGCCACUAUACAAAAAGACACCAAACACACUGGCUUCAACAAGACAAGCCUCUGUUUCUCUUUCGGGUGACAGGAGAAGCAGAGGACUAAGCUUUCUUUUCCAAGUCAUCACCUGAAAGUUGCCCCUUCACUUCUGCUCACAUUGCAUUGGCCAGAGACUUGAAAGGAAGCUGGGCACGUGCUGUGGGGAAAAGAAAGAGAGAUCAGAUUGUUACUGUGUCUGUAUAGAAAGAAGUAGACGUAGGAGACUCCAUUCUGUUCUGUACUAAGAAAAAUUCUGCCUUGAGAUUCUGUUAAUCUGUGACCUUACCCCCAACCCU
rnacentral:lncRNA from 1 species